UAGUGUACCCAUGUCCUCAUUUCAGGUAAAGUAACAACAAACACACAGCAUUAGAUACUUUCAUUUCUGUUUUAUCUCCAUUAUGAAAACAAUGUACAAAAUUUACAAUAUACAAGUAUAGAAUUAUAAUGUAAACUGUACACAAACUUGUUCAUCAAAACAAUUAGCACACAUAUUAAGGAUAUGAAUCUGGAUGAUUUGUUACAUUUAAGUGUAUUAUUAUUUCCUGGAUGUAAGGCAUGUUUGAUGUGUGCUAUGAAAAAACUUGACAAGCAGAUAGAAAACAACUAAACAUUUUUAUCCCAGUAUUUGUUGGAAGGUUGGAGAAGGUGUUAACACCUGAGGGAAUCUUUUUAGGAGUUCAUGCCUUAAUUACAGGUACAUUCAUCUUCACUUAAAAAUGUGUAGUUCAGGUUCCUACCCUUAAGAAUUCUGUCCCUCAUAGAUUCACACAAGCUCAAUAAAUAAUAUUAUGCAACAUAAAUACUCAAAAAUAUGUUCAUCUUACCAUGCAAUAUUCAAGUUGAAAAAAAUGUCUUCACAAUACAAUACAAAUAGACAAUGCAAACAGCUUUGACAUUGGUGCUCUUCAAUAACAAAGCAGUAGCAUAAAAGUUAUAGAAGUGUAGACUUCCAUCUUAUACUCGGGAAAAUAAUUCUAAAAAUAAAGCUAAAUAUGGAUUGUAAAUUAUCAUCCUGGACUCAUGAAAAUCAGUCUGGACUCACCAAUUUCAAAACUGGUGAGUCUAAAGAUUGAAAUAUUUUGUAUAAACUGAACACAAAUAUCAUUAUUUUAUAGCAAAAGUUUG
rnacentral:lncRNA from 1 species